GACCAAGGGUUCCUGGGCCAGGUUAAUCCGCCCAGGGUGAGUCGGGACCUAAGGCGAGGCCGACAGGCGUAGUCGAUGGACAACGGGUUGAUAUUCCCGUACCCGUGUAUCCGCGCCCAAUGGCGAAUCAUCUGUGCUAACCAUCCAAAUGUGGACGGAUCUCCUUCGGGAGACCUGAAGCGGCUGCAUGGGACCCUGGGUGUAGUAGUCAAGCGAUGGGGUGACGCAGGAAGGUAGCUGGGCCCGGUGGUGGAUUACCGGGUGUAAGCCUGUAGGGCGUUGUGUAGGCAAAUCCGCACAGCAUGUGCCUGAGAGGUGAUGCGUAGCC
rnacentral:rRNA from 1 species